UGAGGGAAUAUUGGGUCAAUGGGGCGCAGGCCUGAACCAGCCAAGUCGCGUGAGGGAGGACGGUCCUACGGAUUGUAAACCUCUUUUGUCGGGGAGUAACGUGCGGGACGCGUCCCGUAUUGAGAGUACCCGAAGAAAAAGCCACGGCUAACUACGUGCCAGCAGCCGCGGUAAUACGUAGGUGGCAAGCGUUGUCCGGAUUUACUGGGUGUAAAGGGCGUGUAGGCGGGAGAGCAAGUCAGAAGUGAAAUCUAUGGGCUUAACCCAUAAACUGCUUUUGAAACUGUUCUUCUUGAGUAUCGGAGAGGCAGGCGGAAUUCCUAGUGUAGCGGUGAAAUGCGUAGAUACUAGGAGGAACACCAGUGGCGAAGGCGGCCUGCUGGACGACAACUGACGCUGAGGCGCGAAAGCGUGGGGAGC
rnacentral:rRNA from 1 species